AGGAUGAACGCUGGCGGCGUGCCUAACACAUGCAAGUCGAACGUCCUGUCUCGCAAGAGGCAGGGAGUGGCGGACGGGUGAGUACCACGUGGGUCAUCUACCGUGAGGUGAGGAAUACCGGCGAGAAAUCGCCGACAAGACCGCAUAGGCUCGAUGCAAGUCGAGCAAAGCUCUUUCGAGAGAGGGAGCGCCACACGAGGAGCCUGCGCCCGAUUAGCUAGCUGGUGGAGUAACGGUUCACCAGGGCGACGAUCGGUAGCUGGUCUGAGAGGACGAUCAGCCACACUGGGAUUGAGAACGGCCCAGACUCCUACGGGGGGCAGCAGUGAGGAAUUUCGUCAAUGGGGGCAACCCUGAACGAGCAACGCCGCGUGCAGGAAGAAGGUUUCGGAUCGUAAACUGCUUUUCUCGGGAAGAGAACGGACGGUACCCGAGGAAUCAGCCCCGGCUAACUACGCGCCAGCAGCCGCGGU
rnacentral:rRNA from 1 species